rnacentral:tRNA from 1 species
CAGGCCAUAGCUUAAUAAUAGUAAAGCCCCUCUCUUACGCUGAGGCUACAUCUGUGCGAAUCGGAUUGCCCUGA